rnacentral:rRNA from 1 species
GUGCCAGCAGCCGCGGUAAUACGUAGGUGGCAAGCGUUGUCCGGAUUUAUUGGGCGUAAAGGGAGCGCAGGUGGUUUCUUAAGUCUGAUGUGAAAGCCCACGGCUUAACCGUGGAGGGUCAUUGGAAACUGGGAAACUUGAGUACAGAAGAGGAAUGUGGAACUCCAUGUGUAGCGGUGGAAUGCGUAGAUAUAUGGAAGAACACCAGUGGCGAAGGCGACAUUCUGGUCUGUUACUGACACUGAGGCUCGAAAGCGUGGGGAGCAAACAGGAUUAGAUACCCUGGUAGUCC